CUCAUUAAAGGCACGUGUGUGAAAUUAGUCAAAAGGGAAGCUGCUGAGGAGGACACAGUCUCCAACCGCCGUGUUUUUGGUCACAUCUCAGCAUUAUUGUUUGAUAAAUCCGUUUUUAUUUUUGUUCCAGUGAUUUCAACUUUGUUUUUGAAAAGACUUGUUUUAUUUUGGGGUGUUCUGAUUUAAUUUGAACGCGACAAAUCAGCUCAGCAUCACACAGCAACUCCCUGAACAUCCUGCAACCGGUCGACACCCGAAGAUCAUCUAACAAAAACAGGCGGAACAUGAGCAAAGGGCGCUAACGGGUGCAGGAUAUUAUUAUCAUAGGCGGUGUUGGCGCUCUAGGCGACCGCCUAUAUCGCCUAUGCCAAGAGCCGGCCCUGCCCUCAGACAUGAGGAGUGGAUACAGAGUGUAUGGAAGAAAAAUGUCAUGCGGUUCAGAUGUCAGGCACACCUUGUUGUGGUAUCCUCUCUGCUGGAUGAACUUGUCGACUAUUUUCUGGGCCUGUCGGUCACACUCCUGCUGCAGGAACUGACCAUGUAACGUGGACUUGCAGAGUGGGAACAUUUUACUAAUACACAAAGCAGACAAACAGGACCAAAAACACAACUGACCUGAGUGCAGAGAUACUGGCCGAAGCGUG